rnacentral:rRNA from 1 species
UUAGAUUGAAGAAGCUUGCUUCUGAUUGAUAACAUUUGAGUGAGUGGCGGACGGGUGAGUAACACGUGGGUAACCUGCCCUAAAGUGGGGGAUAACAUUUGGAAACAGAUGCUAAUACCGCAUAAAACCUAGCACCGCAUGGUGCAAGGUUGAAAGAUGGUUUCGGCUAUCACUUUAGGAUGGACCCGCGGUGCAUUAGUUAGUUGGUGAGGUAAAGGCUCACCAAGACCGUGAUGCAUAGCCGACCUGAGAGGGUGAUCGGCCACAUUGGGACUGAGACACGGCCCAAACUCCUACGGGAGGCAGCAGUAGGGAAUCUUCCACAAUGGACGAAAGUCUGAUGGAGCAACGCCGCGUGAGUGAAGAAGGGUUUCGGCUCGUAAAACUCUGUUGUUGGAGAAGAACGAACGUGAGAGUAACUGUUCACGUUGUGACGGUAUCCAACCAGAAAGCCACGGCUAACUACGUGCCAGCAGCCGCGGUAAUACGUAGGUGGCAAGCGUUGUCCGGAUUUAUUGGGCGUAAAGAGAGUGCAGGCGGUUUGUUAAGUCUGAUGUGAAAGCCUUCGGCUCAACCGAAGAAGUGCAUUGGAAACUGAUAAACUUGAGUGCAGAAAAGGACAGUGGAACUCCAUGUGUAGCGGUGAAAUGCGUAGAUAUAUGGAAGAACACCAGUGGCGAAGGCGGCUGUCUGGUCUGUAACUGACGCUGAGACUCGAAAGCAUGGGUAGCGAACAGGAUUAGAUACCCUGGUAGUCCAUGCCGUAAACGAUGAAUGCUAAGUGUUGGAGGGUUUCCGCCCUUCAGUGCUGCAGCUAACGCAUUAAGCAUUCCGCCUGGGGAGUACGACCGCAAGGUUGAAACUCAAAGGAAUUGACGGGGGCC